rnacentral:pre_miRNA from 3 species
UUUUAUGGAUAAGCAAAGAAAGUGGUUUCUUGAGAUAGAAUCUAUUCCUGGUCAAAAUGCUGUGAA